AAUCAACGCUGGCGGCGUGCCUCAGACAUGCAAGUCGAACGAUUAAAGCUCUCUUCGGAGAGUGCAUAAAGUGGCGCACGGGUGAGUAACACGUAAGUAAUCUACCUUCGAGUGGGAAUAACGUCCGGAACGGACGCUAAUACCGCAUAAUGCAGCGGCGAUCGCAAGAUGACAGUUGUUAAAGGAGCAAUUCGCUUGAAGAGGAGCUUGCGGCAGAUUAGCUAGUUGGUAAGGUAACGGCUUACCAAGGCUACGAUCUGUAACCGGUCUAAGAGGACGGUCGGUCACACUGACACUGAAUAACGGGUCAGACUCCUACGGGAGGCAGCAGUCGGGAAUUUUGGGCAAUGGGCGAAAGCCUGACCCAGCAACGCCGCGUGAAGGAUG
rnacentral:rRNA from 1 species